GGGGUAUAGUGACACAGUAACAGAGGGAUUGAGGGCCCUGCUCAGUGAGUUUACAUGUUAGAGGGAGUGGGGUAUAGUGACACAGUAACAGAGAGAUUGAGGGCCCUGCUCAGUGAGUUUACAUGUUAGAGGGAGUGGGGUAUAGUGACACAGUAACAGAGGGAUUGAGGGCCUGCUCAGUGAGAUUACAUGUUAGAGGGAGUGGGGUAUAGUGACACAGUAACAGAGGGAUUGAGGGCCUGCUCAGUGAGUUUACAUGUUAGAGGGAGUGGGGUAUAGUGACG